AGCUGACAACCAAUCAACUGGUAUCAGAGUUAAGUCUUAGUAUAUUUGGCAAGUAAAAUGCAGUUAGAUCCAAGAAAGCUCUGGGUCCCAGACACAAGAUUAAGUUAUCUCAAAAUGGGUUCCAUUCAUGAAUCAUACUGAUUACUGAAUAUCCUGGUGGAUUAUUGUCAACAGUGUUGGUGAAAUCAAAACAAAUAUGGCAGAGAGAUUCUCCAGAGACCAAGAGAAGGUGAAGCCAUGAAGGGUAACUGGGCAGCAACAAAACAGAAGACCAACGGUUUCUGAAUAUUUUAUUGAUUUCCAAAUACAAAGUGGAGUCCACAGAAUCGUGAUAAGUAGGGAGACAGUCUGGUAAGCGGUUUGGGUUGAGAAGGGGAAGACAGGUCAGUUACUUCAAGUCCCACCGCAGAAAAACACAUGACCAUGCAUCCCUCCUGCUCAGGGGCAUUCUAUCUUUGGUUCGGUUGGUGGGAAUUUGGUGUUUAGGAGCAAGAAAUAACCUUUUGUGGCAGUCAUUUGCGGAGGCCAAGUAUAGGGCAAUGGCUCGGGUGUAUUAGAAUUAUUGUGUAGGUCUCUUUAUCGAGAGUAGGGUAUUACUCAUGAGAAGCCUAUAAUAUUGUAUUCUGAUAAUUAAGCAACUAUCAAUAUAACUCACAGUCUCAUUUAGCAUGAUUGGACAAAACACAUUGAGAUAGGAAAUUCAUACAAAAGAAAGUUGCCCCUCGUGAA